UCACAAGUAAUGAUAAGGACAACCACUUAAUGGCAUGUUUUAGAGAAGGAGGGGUAGCUGAGAACCUCCUAACAGUAAAUUAAGUUUGGACCACCUUUGAACUUCUAUCUGGAACGCCUAGCUAGUAAAGAUAGACGAUUCGCUCUCGUUAACGGCGACAAGAGGAAGUAAGUUUUAUCUUAUUUCAAAUCUUGGGUGGAACCACGAGUAUACAACUCGUCCCUUGU
rnacentral:ncRNA from 1 species